rnacentral:rRNA from 1 species
AUUGAACGCUGGCGGCAGGCCUAACACAUGCAAGUCGAACGAGUGGCGGACGGGUGAGUAAUGUCUGGGAAACUGCCCGAUGGAGGGGGAUAACUACUGGAAACGGUAGCUAAUACCGCAUACCAUCGGAUGUGCCCAGAUGGGAUUAGCUAGUUGGUGGGGUAACGGCUCACCUAGGCGACGCGCCCUAGCUGGUCUGAGAGGAUGACCAGCCACCCUGGAACGGAGACACGGUCCAGACUCCUACGGGAGGCAGCAGUUGGGUAUAUUGCACAAUGGGCGCAAGCCUGAUGCAGCCAUGCCGCGUGUAUGAAGAAGGCCUGCGGGUUGUAAAGUACUUUCAGCGGGGAGGCGUUACCCGCAGAAGAAGCACCGGCUAACUCCGUGUCAGCAGCCGCGGUAAUUC